GGGUUGUUAGCUCAGUUGGUAGAGCGUCUGCCUUACAAGCAGAAUGUCGGCGGUUCGAUCCCGUCACAACCCACCA
rnacentral:tRNA from 1 species